rnacentral:lncRNA from 1 species
CUGCUCUUCAGGAGAUGGUGACCGCACCACUCCUUCCCCCGGAGGAGGGCCGGGUGGAGAAUCUUAUGUUCCCUUUUGUUUUUGUUCCGCCACUGGCUACUCAGCCAGUGGUACCCAAAACUUCAUUAAAAGAGCAGUUUCCUUUGCCUCCGGGUCCCAAGAGGAUGAGGACGGCGGUGCACGAGACUCAGUCUCCACUCAGCCGGCCCCCUCUCCCUUCGCUAGUGGGCAGCAGGGUUCAGUUCAAGGACGCUACGCCUCCUCACGAGCCCCCUGCCCAGCAGUGGAGCCAGGUAAGUCGCGCGCUGCGCACUCAGACCCCACCCUGGGACGCGCGGCCUUCCGGGUCGGGUCCCUGUGCUCCACUUCGCUGCCCCACCGCGGGUACGUCGGUGGUCUCCCUAGUCCCGCUAGUUCGGUCGCUGGGGGCCUGGUUAGCCCUCCCCAGGCCGUCUCGCUGGCUCCUGAGAACCAUCAGACUCGGCUACGCGAUUCAGUUCGCCCGGCGCCCUCCCAAGUUCAGGGGCAUUCGGUUCACCUCUGUGCCGGACAAGGAUGCUCCUGUCUUGCGUGCAGAGAUCGCGGUCCUGCUAGCGAAGGACGCGAUACAGCCGGUCCCUCCAGCCGAGAUGAGGUCGGGCUUCUACAGCCCAUACUUCAUCGUACCCAAGAAAGGCGGUGGGUUACGACCGAUCCUGGACCUGCGCGUACUGAACCGGACCCUUCACAAGCUCCCGUUCAGGAUGUUGACGCAGAAACGCAUCUUUCAAUGCGUCCGUCCUUUCGAUUGGUUUGCAGCGGUCGACCUCAAGGACGCGUACUUUCAUGUCUCGAUUCUCCCUCGACACAGACCGUUUCUCCGCUUUGCGUUCGAAGGGCGAGCAUAUCAGUACAAGGUCCUCCCCUUCGGGCUAUCCCUGUCGCCUCGUGUCUUCACCAAGGUCGUGGAGGCAGCCCUCGUUCCAUUGAGGGAAGCGGGCAUUCGCGUUCUCAACUACCUCGACGACUGGCUCAUACUGGCCCAGUCCCGAGCACAGUUGUGCGAACACAGGGAUAUGGUGCUCAGUCACCUCAGCCGAUUGGGGCUUCGGGUCAACUGGGAAAAGAGCAAACUCUCUCCGGUGCAGAGGAUCUCUUUUCUCGGCAUGGAGCUGGACUCGGUCAACCUCUCAGCACGUCUCUCAGUAGAGCGCGCGCAGUCGAUGCUGAACUGCCUGGGGUCCUUCCAGUGCAAGACGGCGGUUCCACUGAAACAAUUUCAGAGGCUCCUGGGGCAUAUGGCAUCCGCAGCCGCUGUCACGCCGCUCGGGUUGCUUCAUAUGAGACCGCUUCAGCAUUGGCUUCACGACCGGGUCCCGAGAUGGGCAUGGCGACACGGCACUUACCGGGUUUCUGUUACCCCGUUCUGCCGUCAGACCCUCAGCCCAUGGACAGAUCUUGC